GAUGAACGCUGGCGGCGUGCCUAAUACAUGCAAGUCGAGCGAACAGACGAGGAGCUUGCUCCUCUGACGUUAGCGGCGGACGGGUGAGUAACACGUGGAUAACCUACCUAUAAGACUGGGAUAACUUCGGGAAACCGGAGCUAAUAACGGAUAAUAUAUUGAACCGCAUGGUUCAAUAGUGAAAGACGGUUUUGCUGUCACUUAUAGAUGGAUCCGCGCCGCAUUAGCUAGUUGGUAAGGUAACGGCUUACCAAGGCAACGAUGCGUAGCCGACCUGAGAGGGUGAUCGGCCACACUGGAACUGAGACACGGUCCAGACUCCUACGGGAGGCAGCAGUAGGGAAUCUUCCGCAAUGGGCGAAAGCCUGACGGAGCAACACCGCGUGAGUGAUGAAGGUCUUCGGAUCGUAAAACUCUGUUAUUAGGAAAGAACAAAUGUGUAAGUAACUAUGCACGUCUUGACGGUACCUAAUCAGAAAGCCACGGCUAACUACGUG
rnacentral:rRNA from 1 species